GUGCCGGUGCCGGGCCACGGGGCACACUUUUCCAGUGCUAGGGAUAUGUAUUAAUUUCUUAAACUUGCCUGAUCACCUGGUGGCACGUUUUGACAGAUACACCCUCGGGACCAGCAGGAUCAGACUCUCCAGAGAAAGAGCCUGGGAUGGUGUUGGGGUUUUUGUCUGUCUGUUUGAAAGAAAUGUCCCAGGUGGCCCUUCUGCUGAGGCAAGAGUGGGACGUGCGUCGGUCGAGCUCCACUCACUAGGCUUCCUUGUGACCAGCGGCCCAUUUGUACACACGCUGGGACCAUACAGGGGAACAACCCAGAGGGACUUGGAGCUGUCCCUUGCUCUUCUUGUCGUAAGCAGGUGUGAGCAUAACCAGUCCCAAUAUUGAGGUUGCCUUAGCGAUUCUUCUUAGAGGGAGAGAAUAUUAUAGGGCCAUCUUAGGUUUUUGUUUUCUGUUUUUAAAUAGAACUUAUUUUAAACCCGGCUACACCUUUUAUUUCUUUGUCUUUGACAUCUUCAGAUUCUUCUCUACCGGCCUGGGUGGCUCAGUUGGCUGAGUGUCUUGGAUUUGGCUCAAAUCACAAUCCCGGGGUCAUGGGAUGAGCCCCAGAUCGGGCUUCAUGCUCAGCGUGGAGCCUGCUUAAGAUACUCUCCCUCCCUCUGUGGCCCCUCCCCGGCUCCUGCUGGCUCCCUUUCUCUCUCUGAAAAACAAAAAAAACCCGAAAACAAUUUUAAAAAAUUACUCUCUGUGAUUUAGAUAUGCCCUGAAAUCUUGGAGCCUAGCCUCAAGAUCUCAGAGUCCUCACUGAAUUUUUGCCAUCUCGUUUAUUGUAUAUUCUCAUUCCUCCGUUGAUUAUAUUUCCUAGGUGCCUACCCUGAAUGCCGGCAGGCAGAAUCACGUUGAAGUGGUAACUGGUCUCAGCUCCCAGAGAGCUCCAUUUUUGAAUUGGGGAGAAUCUCCUCUUUGGCCGAGUGGGAGCACAUCUCCGAGCUGCUGACUGACAGACGUGAUGUUUUCCCGGUUGCUGUCGGUGGCCCGGAGACAAAGGACCGGCCGAGGAUGGCAGAACUGGUCGUCGGGGAGAAGCGGUGCGCCAGCUGCCGAGGCGCAUUCUGUCGCCCUGCCUGCCCAGGCACAGGUGGUCAUCUGUGGCGGUGGAAUCAUGGGCACGUCCGUGGCCUAUCACCUCUCCAAGAUGGGCUGGAAGGAUAUUGUCCUUUUGGAGCAGGGCAGGCUGGCCGCUGGCUCUACGAGGUUCUGUGCCGGCAUCCUGAGCACCGCCAGGCACUUGACCAUCGAGCAGAAGAUGGCAGACUAUUCCAACAAACUCUACCAGCAGUUAGAGCAAGAAACAGGGAUCCAAACAGAGCCCCUGCUGAGUUCCCUCCUGCGUCGGAUGCCAGAACUGGAGACUCUGGAGAUCGUGAAGUUGGUCAACUGCCCCGAGACCUUCACCCCAGACAUGAGGUGCAUCAUGGGCGAGUCUCUUGCAGUGCAGGGGCUACUGUGUCCUAGUGGGAGUGAACUCUGCUGGCCUGUCGUUUGGAGGAGGGGCUUGAAGGUUGUCAGAGGAUGGUGAAGACUCAGAUGCCAGCACAUGCGUUCAUCAGGCAGAGGAUAAGAAGAGCCAGAAAUCAAGGUGAUAAAACAAGAUUGUCCAGUUGAAUAUGUGGACAAGACAGAAGAACACAGAGCCCCUCCCUCAAGAGACCGUAAGAAGUGACGAAGGAUCAUUUCACAGAGAAAAAAGUACCAGCCAUCUGAAACCCAAGUCCCGCCACGCAUUCACAAAGCAUCCAGAUCCUUUGAAUCUCUAGGGACAGAGGAGCAGACACACAAGUCAAACCCAUGAUGGGAACGACAGACUGCAGGAUGUUCUGUCAGGUAUGCUGAAGUCAGGAACGAGUCACCCACUUCAGGGUUAGGACCAAAGAGAGACAAGUGCCAGAUUCACAUUGUUAACCAAGAAAGAUUUCCAGGGUGAAUUUUAAAGUGCCAAAAGCUGAGUGUGUGUGUCAGGGCACUCAAUAAAUACAUCUUGCCCGAGUCUUAAAAGUGUGCCCCUAUUUAUGGACAAGAUGCAAUUUACACAUAAAUCUAGAACUUCCUUUAAAUUCUUCAAAGACGAGAGUGGUACAGGGCAGGGGAUACCUUUAGCUCUACAGUGCCUGUUUCCAGCUUUCUUGGUCAGUUGGGCCCCUGUUGCUAACACCUGCGUUGAGCAGGUGCCUGAUUCCUGCUCUCCCCCAUGUGUCAUAGCUGCUGCGCCCUGUCCUACAAGGUGACACCUCUCCCCCAACUGCCCCCCUCCUUGCAGCAGCAUCUCUCAGCCCAUCACAUAGUGAGGCCCUAACGGUUGUAACCACAUACUCCCUUAAUAAAUCAACGAAGACGUCUUUUAAAAAGUGGACACUACAAUCAGUAGUCAAGUAGGAACUGUCUGGCCAGGCAGAGGACAAGAAGUUUCUAUAGAGACUCUAUCAGAUGAAGGGGGUAAACCGAGAUCCCAAAGAAACGCCAGAGCAGGCAGACACACGUGAGAGUUCUAAGCUGCUCACGGAGAACAAAAGGCCCUUCUAUAAUGGACUGACAGACUCGUCAGAGCUAACGCUUCCAAGAUAUCAAGACAACAGUUCAUUCAAAUCUGUGACAGCACUUUGCAUAUAAACUGCCCCCAUUGGACUUUAAGUGCAAAGGGUGGACAAGUUUCGGACAGCCCAGCCUCACCUUUAGCAGACAGACACCGUGUAAGAGAGUGGAGGGCCCGGUCAUUUUCUCUUCCAGAGCUACAGAGAGAUGGCUGGAUGGAAGAGCAGACUCUCACAGGACCCUCCCCAGACUCCUGAGGGUCAUCUCUGUGCAGAUCUGUCUGUUCUGUGCCCGAGGAAGCAAAACUUGGGAGUCCAGUAGCUCUUGAACUCUGCACGGCCAGCAUGGUUUAGUUCCUCCCCAGGACCACACACCCUCCCUGUUCCAAAGGGACAGCAGUGUUUGCCGAGUGGGCCUGCUGCAGAAGGGGCAGGUAAGGAGAGGGGACAAAGAUGCACCUGGAGAAGAGGACGGUCAAGAUGGGAAGAGUGAGCUUUGAGCAGCUGAAAGCAGCAGCACUGUUCAGACAGCAGAAAACCACCUCUGUGCGGUACAUUUUCCAAGAAGAUCAAUACAAAAGGCAACAUGGUCUUUCCCUUUCAAACACUGGCUUGUUUACUCAGGCCCCCAGACCCUCUUCUAGAGAUCAGCAAGACGUGAAGGAAAUGUUAGGAGGGUGGCCCUGAUCCGCAAGUCUAGUAACUGGGUCAGUAGGGAGGCUGGGAUGUCCCAGGCCGGCUGUUUGCUACAGACCAAAGAACAUGCACGUGGUGCCGCUCGUGAAUGAGGUAGAUGGUCAUCCUCUUGUAGAGGGAUCGGUGCCAACCCCCCGCACGGGCUCUCGCAAGGGGCUGCCUCGGAUCCACAGCAACCCGCCAAGAUGAGCAGGUUAUUCCGAGAAAAGUCAGCCUCACAGAGCUGGACUCUUGCCCUGCGGCCUGCAUACCACCAGCUUCCCCUGCUUCUAGACACAGCCAGAGAAAUCAGACCCCUGGCUCCCCACUUCCACGAGUGCAGUCUUUACCUGUCCUGCCUGUCACACAUGCUUUGUGUCACCAUGAGGAUCUGAGAGGGGUGGAGUGGGGGGCUGGAAGAACAGCCCAGAGGGAGUAUUAGAUGGUUAACUGCACUGCAAAAGGGAGGAGGGAAGGUGGAAGGAGAAGAGAGGUUGCAAAGCAAAAGGUUUAAAGCAGGUGAAGCUUAAAAUCCUAUCAGGGAGGUAAAAGGUGGGAAGCAGAGGGUUGGGACUGGAGGGGAGCCCGGCAUUACUUUCCAUGCAAGUCACUUAGCUCCACAUCAUCCUUUCGGCGCUUGUGGGUAAAGAGGGAGGUGACAGGGUAGAGCUUGGCCUUGGCCUGGAACCGGUGUCCCGCGAUGUCAAUCUCAUACUCUCCCCGGUUGAUGAAAUCUGCCGUCACAACCUGUUCUUCCCCAGUAUCUUCGGAAAAAUUGUGCACAAAGCCCAGGCAAACGUGGCGCUCCAGGGUGUAGCUGUAGGCGCUGCUGGUGGUCUUGCCUGCGUACUGCCCGUUGCGGUAAAUGGGUUCUCCCCACCAGGGCCAGAGGUCCAGGUCGGUGUCGUGAUCGUCCAGAAUGAACAUAGUGAGGCGUUUGUACACCCCGUUCUGUUUCUGCUGCAGCAGGGCAUCCCGGCCAAUGAAAUCCAUCCCCUAGGAGAGAACGGCAAUGCUGAGAGCAGGCUGACGUGCUGAUGCUGGGCACAGAAGGGGCGGUGGGUAGGGUCCCCUGAUGUACCUGCCAUGGGGGCAACACCCCCACUCCCCAGAUUUGGGGAAAAUGUAGGUUUUCCACCUUGUGAAAAACUGCAUUCACAAUAUAGAAGACCUACUCAGAAAUUUCUGUAACACAGGUGUACAUUUUUCUCUUUUGUAAACAUAGAUUUCAACCACAAGACCACACAGAAAAAAAAUACUUAGGAAGAAAAAUUCAAAAAUACUUGCUAUAAUUGUUUUCAAAAAACCAUGUUUUUAGGUAAUCUCAAGAGAAAGCCCACACAUGUAUGUAUUUGAAUGUGCAAGAAACAUGACCAGGG